UACGUAGGGGGCAAGCGUUAUCCGGAUUUACUGGGUGUAAAGGGAGCGUAGACGGCGCAGCAAGUCUGAUGUGAAAGGCAGGGGCUUAACCCCUGGACUGCAUUGGAAACUGUUGAGCUUGAGUGCCGGAGGGGUAAGCGGAAUUCCUAGUGUAGCGGUGAAAUGCGUAGAUAUUAGGAGGAACACCAGUGGCGAAGGCGGCUUACUGGACGGUAACUGACGUUGAGGCUCGAAAGCGUGGGGAGCAAACAGG
rnacentral:rRNA from 1 species